ensembl:lncRNA
GGUCAGACCCCUUCCUCUAAAACGCGUUGGCUCUAUGAACAGAUCCUGUCCAUUUGUGUAUCCGCUGUGAUGGCUACCGCUGGCCACACCAUAAAUGUCAACAGCACUUCUCAGCAGUACACUCAGCAACCGACUGCAGCACCUGGGCCCUCUCAGUCCCACCAGAGAGCGUCCUACCAGCCAGCACCAGCUCAGCCUGAUGACCCAGCUGAGCUCAUGACCACAUCACCCAGCCAUGAACAGCCAUUCCUAAGACCACCACCAUCAUACGAGGAAACAACUGGUCCUGCCUACCCUCUACAACUGAUGCCUUCCAGUGAGACAGUGUUCAUCCCACUGUACCUAUCAGAGGGUACUGUGCAUGAGCACAACGGUCUACAGGACAGCACAGACUUCCUAACCAGCACUGCAUGCGACCCUGAAUUUGUUAUACGCUAGGCUUAAUAGUCAUAGCGCCCCAAGCAGACACAAACAUGAUGCAAAAUAUUUGGCUCAAAUGGAAGUAUGUACUUUGAAUGAAGAUGAGACACAGCAGUGUAACUUGAUGUAUUUUCAAUUUUAUUCUUUAAACCAGUUUUUAGUGGCUCAAGUUAUUUAGAAAAAUUGAAACAUAAGGUCACUGUUUCUCACUAAUUGUCUUUGGCCUUAUUCCUCAAGAUCUCUCCCUCUUGUCUUUACUCUCUAUCGGGGAAAGUACUUGACAGUCAGAUUCAGUUGUCAGCAGUUAGAAGGUGUUUCAGUGUUCAUUAGAAAUGCAUCGAUGGAUGCACAUGCAAGAUAAAUAUGAACACGUUAAAGAAGCUGACGUUAAAGUCAGGCGGUUGUACAGAAAAUCAUUGUGAAGUUAAUAACUUUUGUUAUUAUUUUAUUAUAGUCUCUUAUUAUAUUUUUUUACAUUGGAUACAGUUUGAGUUAUAGAUUUUAGAAAAACAAUCAGUUGUUAAACAGUGCGUCUCUAGUAUCUGUGGAUAUCGUCUCAUCGCUAUCUAUGAAUUUACUGCAGACCUGCAAAGUGCUGUUAACCCUUUUUCUCUGUGUAUUUGUGUGCAUUGCCUUGUAAGUCAUGCCCCAUGUGAAUGAAUUCAAAGAGUGCAAACAUUUAUUACUGAGGGUUUUUUCUCCAUUCAUGUCAGGUCAGCUGAUCACUCACACUUCCUGAACACAUACAGUUCCACUUUUUUAAUGCAUGUUGUUUUCAGUGUGUAAAAGAUGCGUUUACACUGUAUUAUUUUUGUUAGGACAUCACACGCUCCCCCAUUGAGUGAGCUGAAUUCUGGAUCUGUAAUUUAUGCUCUAGGUAAUUAUUGAAAUGAACUGACUGCUCCUUUGUAUAUACAUUUUCUCACGGAUAGAUCGAUGUGCAGCGGCCCUUCGGUCUCCCUUUACAGGGAGUGCAGAAUUAUUAGGCAAAUGAGUAUUUUGUCCACAUCAUCCUCUUCAUGCAUGUUGUCUUACUCCAAGCUGUAUAGGCUCGAAAGCCUACUACCAAUUAAGCAUAUUAGGUGAUGUGCAUCUCUGUAAUGAGAAGGGGUGUGGUCUAAUGACAUCAACACCCUAUAUCAGGUGUGCAUAAUUAUUAGGCAACUUCCUUUCCUUUGGCAAAAUGGGUCAAAAGAAGGACUUGACAGGCACAGAAAAGUCAAAAAUAGUGAGAUAUCUUGCAGAGGGAUGCAGCAGUCUCAAAAUUGCAAAGCUUCUGAAGCGUGAUCAUCGAACAAUCAAGCGUUUCAUUCAAAGUAGUCAACAGGGUCGCAAGAAGCGUGUGGAAAAACCAAGGCGCAAAAUAACUGCCCAUGAACUGAGAAAAGUCAAGCGUGCAGCUGCCAAGAUGCCACUUGCCACCAGUUUGGCCAUAUUUCAGAGCUGCAACAUCACUGGAGUGCCCAAAAGCACAAGGUGUGCAAUACUCAGAGACAUGGCCAAGGUAAGAAAGGCUGAAAGACGACCACCACUGAACAAGACACACAAGCUGAAACGUCAAGACUGGGCCAAGAAAUAUCUCAAGACUGAUUUUUCUAAGGUUUUAUGGACUGAUGAAAUGAGAGUGAGUCUUGAUGGGCCAGAUGGAUGGGCCCGUGGCUGGAUUGGUAAAGGGCAGAUAGCUCCAGUCCGACUCAGACGCCAGCAAGGUGGAGGUGGAGUACUGGUUUGGGCUGGUAUCAUCAAAGAUGAGCUUGUGGGGCCUUUUCGGGUUGAGGAUGGAGUCAAGCUCAACUCCCAGUCCUACUGCCAGUUUCUGGAAGACACCUUCUUCAAGCAGUGGUACAGGAAGAAGUCUGCAUCGUUCAAGAAAAACAUGAUUUUCAUGCAGGACAAUGCUCCAUCACACGUCCAAGUACUCCACAGCGUGGCUGGCAAGAAAGGGUAUAAAAGAAGAAAAACUAAUGACAUGGCCUCCUUGUUCACCUGAUCUGAACUCCAUUGAGAACAUGUGGUCCAUCAUCAAAUGUGAGAUUUACAAGGAGGGAAAACAGUACACCUCUCUGAACAGUGUCUGGGAGGCUGUGGUUGCUGCUGCACGCAAUGUUGAUGGUGAACAGAUCAAAACACUGACAGAAUCCAUGGAUGGCAGGCUUUUGAGUGUCCUUGCAAAGACAGGUGGCUAUAUUGGUCGCUGAUUUGUUUUUGUUUUGUUUUUGAAUGUCAGAAAUGUAUAUUUGUGAAUGUGGAGAUGUUAUAUUAGUUUCACUGGUAAAAAUAAAUUAUUGAAAUGGGUAUAUAUUUGUUUUUGUUAAGUUGCCUAAUAAUUAUGCACAGUAAUAGUCACCUGCACACACAGAUAUCCCCCUAAAAUAGCUAAAACUAAAAACAAACUGAAAACUACUUCCAAAAACAUUCAGCUUUGAUAUUAAUGAGUUUUUUCGGUUCAUUGAGAACAUGGUUGUUGUUCAAUAAUAAAAUUAUUCCUCAAAAAUACAACUUGCCUAAUAAUUCUGCACUCCCUGUACUGUACAUCCUGUACCUUAGCCUGUGUAGUGAUAUUGACAACAAAAAUAAUUAAAAAUACACUUACCCAUCGGGGCGCCGGAAACUGGUAGAUUGCAGGUAUGCCAGUUUGUCAGUCCAGCUCUGGCUGGUAAACCAAACCAGAUUAAUUAAUCUGGCCUAAAUAUUGUUAUGAGAGUUGUGAAAACUCAUUUUGUCGUUAUUGAUUUUCUGGCACGGAAUACCUUUGAAGUAGCAAAUAAAUUACGAUCGAUUAAACUUACUAUCAAUAUGUUUUUUUCCUCUUAUGAAAUAAAAGUGUCGGAGUUUCGAGCCUGUGCGGUUUCGCCAAACUUGCAGUCGAGAAUUUUCAAAGUAAAAGCCAUCUAAAGCGUCAAAAAUUAAUUGUUAACAUGCCAAUUUUUACUGUCUUGAUUUUAAUUCGACAAUAAAUAAACAAACAGACUUCUG